rnacentral:rRNA from 1 species
AGACGGUACGGAGGGCGACCGGCCACACUGGGACUGAGACACGGUCCAGACUCCUACGGGAGGCAGCAGUGGGGAAUAUUGCACAAUGGGCGAAAGCCUGAUGCAGCGACGCCGCGUGAGGGAUGACGGCCUUCGGGUUGUAAACCUCUUUCAGCAGGGAAGAAGCGCAAGUGACGGUACCUGCAGAAGAAGCACCGGCUAACUACGUGCCAGCAGCCGCGGUAAUACGUAGGGUGCGAGCGUUGUCCGGAAUUAUUGGGCGUAAAGAGCUCGUAGGCGGCCUGUCGCGUCGGAUGUGAAAGCCCGGGGCUUAACCCCGGGUCUGCAUUCGAUACGGGCAGGCUAGAGUGUGGUAGGGGAGAUCGGAAUUCCUGGUGUAGCGGUGAAAUGCGCAGAUAUCAGGAGGAACACCGGUGGCGAAGGCGGAUCUCUGGGCCAUUACUGACGCUGAGGAGCGAAAGCGUGGGGAGCGAACAGGAUUAGAUACCCUGGUAGUCCACGCCGUAAACGUUGGGAACUAGGUGUUGGCGACAUUCCACGUCGUCGGUGCCGCAGCUAACGCAUUAAGUUCCCCGCCUGGGAAGUACGGAAA